AUUGAACGCUGGCGGCAUGCUUUACACAUGCAAGUCGAACGGCAGCGCGGGGGCAACCCUGGCGGCGAGUGGCGAACGGGUGAGUAAUGUAUCGGAACGUAUCCUGUAAUGGGGGAUAACCAGUCGAAAGAUUGGGUAAUACCGCAUACGCACGAGAGUGGAAAGUAGGGGAUCGCAAGACCUUACGUUAUAGGAGCGGCCGAUAUCUGAUUAGCUAGUUGGUGGGGUAAAGGCCUACCAAGGCGACGAUCAGUAGCUGGUCUGAGAGGACGACCAGCCACACUGGGACUGAGACACGGCCCAGACUCCUACGGGAGGCAGCAGUGGGGAAUAUUGGGCAAUGGGCGGAAGCCUGACCCAGCCAUGCCGCGUGAAGGAAGACGGCCUUAUGGGUUGUAAACUUCUUUACUAUGCGACUAACUAGAUUUACGAGAUAAUUCUAUAGAAUGUAGCAUAGCAAAAAGCACCGGCUAACUCCGUG
rnacentral:rRNA from 1 species